rnacentral:rRNA from 1 species
UUCUUUUGGAAUCGAGUGGCAAACGGGUGAGUAACACGUAAACAACCUGCCUUCAGGAUGGGGACAACAGACGGAAACGACUGCUAAUACCGAAUACGCUUGGGAGAUCGCAUGAUCUUCCAAAGGAAAGGGUGGCCUCUACCUGUAAGCUAUCGCCUGAAGAGGGGUUUGCGUCUGAUCAGGCAGUUGGUGAGGUAACGGCCCACCAAACCUACGAUCAGUAGCCGGUCUGAGAGGAUGAACGGCCACACUGGAACUGAGACACGGUCCAGACUCC